UACGUAGGGUGCGAGCGUUGUCCGGAAUUAUUGGGCGUAAAGAGCUUGUAGGCGGUUUGUCGCGUCUGCCGUGAAAAUUCGAGGCUCAACCUCGAACUUGCGGUGGGUACGGGCAGACUAGAGUGCGGUAGGGGAGAUUGGAAUUCCUGGUGUAGCGGUGGAAUGCGCAGAUAUCAGGAGGAACACCAACGGCGAAAGCACUCUGCUGGGCCGACACUGACACUGAGAGACGAAAGCUAGGGGAGCGAAUGGG
rnacentral:rRNA from 1 species